CAGGUCUGUGCCACGUUUUUUUACUCUGCUGUCUUACUACUGUGCUCUAAGUACAGCUCUAAAUACAUCAUCAGGUUUGCUGAAGACUCUACAGUUGUGGGCCACCAAAAACAGUGCAUCAGCAUACAAGGGGAUAAAGGAGAGCAUUGUGACUGUCCGUUUCACUGUGUGGUAAGAGAACUGCACAGCCUCAGACCAAAAGAUCCUAAAGUGGAUUGUGAGAAAAGCUGAGAAGAUCACCAGUGUCUCUCUACCCACAAUUGAUUACUACUGCAUCCUCAAGGCAGUGCAUCCAUGUACAUGGUCACUGAUGGCCAGACCUCCAAAGCUCUCUACACGACUGGUAGAUUUUCAAGCCACCUGUGUCCACAGAAUCUAUACACCCCACUCCUGAGCUCCCAGUGUUUGCCAGUCUCCAGUGUGACCACUGCCCUUCCCCUAGUCUCGUCGCUUGGUGGUGCCCACUGAUGCUGUGGAUGGAUCUGUGUGGACCAGGAGACAGCUAUGGACAGAGCCACUUGGGGACUUUCACACCGUCACAGAUCUGCCAUUUCAUCUGUCAGCUUGUGACAGCAAAGAAUUAGUGUCUAUAAUGACCUUAGAAUCUACAAUGACCUAACAGUUCCUCAUGGGCCAUUGAUUGCUGUUGUAGAAAGGACAUUAAUCAGUUACAGUUACAUUAUUUACUGUUUAGUGUCACCCAAAUGAGGAUGGGUUCCCUUCUGAGGAUAUCAUCACAUGGAGUUUUUCCUUGCCACCAUGCUCAUUAGGGAUAAAAUAAAAUACUUUAAUAAUUUAAUUUAAUAAUUUAUUCUUAUUUCUAGUUAUUUAGUUAUAUAUUUUUCCCCUCCCCUUUCUCUGUUUCUCUUCUUUUGUAAAGCUGCUUUGAGACAAUGUUCAUUGUAAAAGGUGCUAUACAAAAUAAAUUGAACUGAAUUUAAUUAAUAUAAAAGAGCUCAAAACACCUGCGCAAAACAUGCAAUACUAGUGUUACCUUUCCGGCACAAAACUUUUUAAGUAAUUAGGUUAUUAUCAAAGGUAACUAGCACAGAUAUGCAUUUUACCAAAUUUCAAUAGGACUUCCAGAAACACAGUGAACCUACUGAUGUGCUUUUUAAGAAUGUGUGUUUUUUUAAAAUGUUUUUUUCACCAAUUCAUCAGACGUGAUCAUUGGACACCUUGCAUGCAUGCUUCUUAGAAUUUAAAUACAUUUGUUGUGUUUCACACAAUAUCCACCAGAUAUA